GGUUCUAUAGUGUAGUGGUUAACAUGUCUGCUUUACACACAGAAGGUCCUGGGUUCGUGCCCCAGUGGAGCCA
rnacentral:tRNA from 1 species